rnacentral:rRNA from 1 species
UGAAGAAUUUGUCCAACGGUGGGGGAUAGCCGGCCCAACGGCCGGGUAAUACCGCGUACGCCCUUCGAGCGGCAUCGCUUGAUGGGGAAAGUCGCAAGACGCCGAUGGAGAACUUCGCGGCCUAUCAGCUAGUUGGUGAGGUCAUGGCUCACCAAGGCGACGACGGGUAGCUGGUCCGAGAGGAUGACCAGCCACAUUGGGACUGAGACACGGCCCAGACUCCUACGGGAGGNAG